UUAGAUUUUAUUUAUUAAUUUUAUUUAUUUUAUUUUAAAAUAUUAAAAAUAAUUUUAUAUUAAAAAGUUUUAGUAUUGUUUAAAGAAAAAAUAAAUUUAAUUAUAGUUAAAUAGUAUUGUGAAAGAAAA
rnacentral:rRNA from 2 species